rnacentral:rRNA from 1 species
UACGGGGGGGGCAAGCGUUGUUCGGAAGUACUGGGCGUAAAGGGGGCGUAGGGGGGUUCUUAAGUCAGAGGUGAAAGGCUACGGCUCAACCGUAGUAAGCCUUUGAAACUGGGAAACUUGAGUGCAGGAGAGGAGAGUGGAAUUCCUAGUGUAGCGGUGAAAUGCGUAGAUAUUAGGAGGAACACCAGUUGCGAAGGCGGCUCUCUGGACUGUAACUGACACUGAGGCACGAAAGCGUGGGGAGCAAACAGG